AUGACACGGACAGCCCAGGAAUGGAAGUUCUAGCUACCAUCUUUGUACAUCCAUUCAAUCCAAGAAAAGUUCUUUGGUGUCCAUCUUUGUUCACUGUGGUGAACAAUAAAUGGAGACAUUUUGGCUGCAAUCUUGGUACACGCCCUGGUCCCAGGAAUCCAAGUCAAUCUCCAUAUUUGUAGUAUCCUGUGACACACCUAAAAGACCUGGGAACGAAAGCUU